AGUUGAAAAUAAAUGUACAUGGAAGUUCUGUUUCAUCCAGCCUACUGGCCAUUCUUUAGAAAACUUUAUUUAAAUGAAUAAUUACUACCACCUCUUAUGUAGAUGUUUGGUUAAACAUUGUAUUAAUCUUUUCCCUCCUCUGAAAUUGAUUCUCCCAGUGAGAUAAGAAGAAUUUAAGAAGUGUUAAAGAGAAUUUGAUGUAUAGAUCCUAUUUAUUUUGACAUCAAUGUCAGACCU
rnacentral:lncRNA from 1 species